UUUUCAGAGAUGAGAAUGUGCCUUCGGGAACCGUGAGACAGGUGCUGCAUGGCUGUCGUCAGCUCGUGUUGUGAAAUGUUGGGUUAAGUCCCGCAACGAGCGCAACCCUUAUCCUUUGUUGCCAGCGGUCCGGCCGGGAACUCAAAGGAGACUGCCAGUGAUAAACUGGAAGAAGGUGGGGAUGACGUCAAGUCAUCAUGGCCCUUACGACCAGGGCUACACACGUGCUACAAUGGCGCAUACAAAGAGAAGCGACCUCGCGAGAGCAAGCGGACCUCAUAAAGUGCGUCGUAGUCCGGAUUGGAGUCUGCAACUCGACUCCAUGAAGUCGGAAUCGCUAGUAAUCGUGGAUCAGAAUGCCACGGUGAAUACGUUCCCGGGCCUUGUACACACCGCCCGUCACACCAUGGGAGUGGGUUGCAAAAGAAGUAGGUAGCUUAACCUUCGGGAGGGCGCUUACCACUUUGUGAUUCAUGACUGGGGUGAAGUCGUAACAAGGUAACCGUAGGGGAACCUGCGGUUGGAUCACCUCCUUA
rnacentral:rRNA from 1 species